rnacentral:rRNA from 1 species
UACGUAGGGGGCGAGCGUUGUCCGGAAUUAUUGGGCGUAAAGGGUACGUAGGCGGUCUUUUAGGUUUGACGUGAAAGCCUGGGGCUUAACCCCAGUAAGCGUUGAAAACCGGGAGACUUGAGUAGCGGAAGGGACAGUGGAAUUCCUAGUGUAGCGGUGAAAUGCUUAGAGAUUAGGAAGAAUACCGGUGGCGAAGGCGACUGUCUGGACGCAAACUGACGCUGAGGUACGAAAGCGUGGGUAGCAAACAGG